UACAGAGACUGCAAGCGUUAUUCGGAUUCACUGGGCGUAAAGGGUGCGUAGGCGGGCAGGUAAGUCAGUGGUGAAAUCCUUGAGCUUAACUCGAGAACUGCCAUUGAUACUAUCUGUCUUGAAUAUUGUGGAGGUAAGCGGAAUAUGUCAUGUAGCGGUGAAAUGCUUAGAUAUGACAUAGAACACCUAUUGCGAAGGCAGCUUACUACGCAUAUAUUGACGCUGAGGCACGAAAGCGUGGGGAUCAAACAGG
rnacentral:rRNA from 1 species